CAGAACUUGUAUAAUCUCUUAGUAUGAAAAACAGGUAUGAUUGCCAGUUUGAUACUGAAGCUGCACGCCUCUUUAUCCAGCCAGUGAGGAGCUGCAAAUAAAGACGCUGCGCAUCUUGAGGAGAGCGGCAGUGCGCAUGCGCAGUGGGAUAUUAGUUAGUUUCCAUAGCUCCGACCUGCUGAGUGAGUUGAUUUUUCAACUUCUGACUCACGUCCUCCGGUGACACAAAUCCAAGGGCACCGGAGCGGUUUUAUCUGGCAUUACAGGUGCCUUUUAUUUGUUUCUCUUUGAUGUUUUGUUGUUUAAGCAUGUAAAUUUCACAUUUUUGAACCACCUGCCCGUCUCAUUAACCAGUCAUGGGACGUUAAUCGAUGGAAAUCUCCGCCUGAAGCUUGACAUUUUGUGGUCGCUUUGCAUUUUCAGCAGGAAAAAUGAGCUGCUUCAGUCAGAGGUUGAGGCGCACGGCUCCAAUGCAAGGCAACAGCAGAAAUGAGCUGGUCCCCUCCAAGCCUCCGAGGAUGAAUGGAUGGUCGUGGCCGCCUCAAGCUUUCCAGAUUGUUGGCUGGUUGGCCUACAGCUACCUCGCUAUAGUCAGCUUCGGCAUCUACAUCCCUCUUCUGCCUCUGCCGUUGAACCAUGUGGCCUACACUCUGAUGGGCAUAACGUUUAUUGUGCACUUUGUCACCCAUAUUGCUGCUGUUACUAUAGAUCCAGCAGAUGCCAGCGUGAGGGCGAAGCAGAGCUAUUCCAGUCCCUUGCCGUUUUUUGAUCGGACGAAGCAGCCUCACGUCAUCCAGGAUCUGCAUUGUUACCUGUGUGAUGUCAAAGUUGGCCCCAAAGUAAAACACUGUGGUGUUUGCAACAAGUGCGUGGAAGACUUUGACCAUCACUGCAAAUGGAUGAACACCUGUGUGGGUGGGAGAAACUACUGGUUCUUCUUUUUGGCGCUGUCCUCCGCUACGAUCAGCACCUUCCUGCUCAUUGUUGUGGUCUUGUUCAUAUUUAUUCAGCAUUACCUGGAUCCACACAGCCUACGGACCGCACCACAGUUUACCAGUGCAUUGGGGAACACCACUUGGCUGGUGUUUUUACCGUUGGCUCCCAUAAAAACUAGUUCCGCCGGCCUCCUCAUAUCAGCUUUUAUAACGAUCAUGCUGAGCAUCACCUGCUUGCUGCUGCUCAGUCAUCUGCUGGGCUUUCACCUGUACCUCUUCUAUAAAGGUAUAAGCACGUAUGAUUACAUAAAGAUGCAGCGACAAAAAGAAGCAAGAAAUCGAGAUAGUGAAGCUGGAAAUUCUCGUGACGCAAAAACCCAUAAUAAGUCUCCACAGAGUCAAAUGGGGUCAAUUGACUGUGAGCCAGCAUUAUCACAGAAUCCAAGUUCUUGCAAGUUUGACAAUAAAGGCCCACUGAGCAGCCGAUUGUCAGAGUCCAUAUGCACAGAGCUGGAAAACUUUAAGAAAUCCUCUGAAAAGGAGAACAGUUUCCGUUAUGGUACAGAAAACCCAGCAGAUAACACAGCAAGGGAAAUGAGUGAUGUUAAAAGCUGGAAGCCCGUUGAUGAUGAGGAGGCUCAGAGCUCCAGUGUGAAGUCUGUUGACAGCGUUCCUGGAGUGCAGGAUCCUCUGGGCAGCUCCAUCAUGACUCCAGAUGAGACUUAGCAGGAACUGAGGUCUUCAUAGCGAAAUCACUACCUGUGAUGAGAGCUGUCCUACUCCUUGGACAUACACUUUAAUCUUCUUGACUGGUCAGGAGGGCCGGUUCUGUCCUGGACUGUUCCCUGGACUCCAUAGAGGAGGUGGGUGAGAGGAGGAUGUUGGCAUUUUCCAUCCAUCCUGGAAAAUCCCUCUCAACCACUGCAUGACACUGUGGGGUCUUUAAGCAGCUCCUUCAGCAGCAGACUGAGACAGCCACCUUGCAAGAAUGAGCGCUAUCGCAGGUCCUUCAUCCCAUCUGCUGUCAGACUGUACAACAUCAGCAUCACUGGCUGAUGUUAACAUAAACACAUAAGCACAAUUCCUUGCACUGCUGUCAUUUUCUGCACUUCUACAUUUUAUUCCACAAGUCACUUUUUGCUGAUGUCAUUUGUUUAUAGUGUAGUAAUACUCUAUUUAUCCAUUUCCAUCCUUCAUUCUUGUAUAUAUUGUAUAUAUGUUUGUUAUUAUAAUUAUUAUAUUUACUGUAUAUUGCUGCUGUAACACGGGAAAUUCCCCCUGCCAUGGGGAGUAAUAAAGGAUUAUCUUAUCUUACAGAAUAGUAUAUCUGAUAUCCAGUGUUAUGUUGACUUGGAAAAGAUGCCUCCGUUUGCUAAACAUGAAGUGUUUUUUUCCGAUUCUUUCAUACUGAGGUCACUGGGUUUUGCUCCUUUUACAAAAAUGAUUUAGUGGCCAAUACAGAUUUUACAACUGUGGCAGGGCAACUCUAAUAACUCAGUUUAAUUGUCUGGUGAUCAAACACAGUGUGAGUCAUCAUAACUUCCUAUUUAACCACACAGUGGCGCAAUUGAAGCAGCUUGAGCUCCACUAUUAUGUCAUCCAGUGAUUACUCUGCCUCCAGACUGCUUUCAUCAUGAUCAACCAUAUCCUUGCUUUUUGCUCACAGGCAUGCAUGUUCUCACUGAGUCGUCUGUCUGAGAGCUCGGUGCUACUUUUCUCUUUUUUUUUAUGAUCAGUUGAAGCAUCAGCAGGGCCGGAGGUUACAUAAUGUCCAUCCAUGUCCAGCCAUUAGUGCCACUGCUGGUUGUGUAACACAUUAGUAGUGCGCUUGGACGUGGAAGAGAAUGUGAGAUUUUAUUAGGAAAUGUCUCAUAGAAAUAUAAAGCAGUCCUUGGAGGCACUUCCUUUUUGGCUGAGACAUCCUGUGCUUGAGUUUAAAAAUACUCUGUUUUUAUUUUUAUUUGCCCUUUCUCAUGCACUCCCUCCCAAUAUGGUUCACUGCUUGAUUAUUUAUUAAUAAAGCUGCAAAAUCUUCAAAAAAAAAAUCCGUUGUUUACAUCAACCAGUUCCUCCAGAAGAUGCUCUUGUUUAUCAUCUGCGCUCCUCUGUGGUUCCAAAGCCGCAGCAGCCUACGAGGCAACAAGAAAAACAGCUCGUCGCGCAGCUCUAGCAGCCAAUCAGCGGCCUGGUUUCUCUUCAGCAUCUCGCAGGGGGACUGAACCAUCGGGCGGACUUGAGCGCACAGGCUGAGGGAAAAGCGACUCCUUGAAAGGCUCCUCGACGCGCAAUUAUGGUUUGGUGAAUUCGACCCGGCGCUGGAGGAUUUUUUGCGUCGCCAGGUGACCAAAUUUGGCACAGUUACUUGGAGCUGUUGUUUUUCUCACAAG